rnacentral:rRNA from 1 species
UAUAAGCAAUCUAUACGGUGAAACUGCGAAUGGCUCAUUAAAUCAGUUAUCGUUUAUUUGAUAGUACCUUACUACUUGGAUAACCGUGGUAAUUCUAGAGCUAAUACAUGCUAAAAACCCCGACUUCGGAAGGGGUGUAUUUAUUAGAUAAAAAACCAAUGCCCUUCGGGGCUCCUUGGUGAUUCAUAAUAACUUAACGAAUCGCAUGGCCUUGUGCCGGCGAUGGUUCAUUCAAAUUUCUGCCCUAUCAACUUUCGAUGGUAGGAUAGUGGCCUACCAUGGUUUCAACGGGUAACGGGGAAUUAGGGUUCUAUUCCGGAGAGGGAGCCUGAGAAACGGCUACCACAUCCAAGGAAGGCAGCAGGCGCGCAAAUUACCCAAUCCCGACACGGGGAGGUAGUGACAAUAAAUACUGAUACAGGGCUCUUUUGGGUCUUGUAAUUGGAAUGAGUACAAUUUAAAUCCCUUAACGAGGAACAAUUGGAGGGCAAGUCUGGUGCCAGCAGCCGCGGUAAUUCCAGCUCCAAUAGCGUAUAUUAAAGUUGUUGCAGUUAAAAAGCUCGUAGUUGAACCUUGGGCCUGGCUGGCCGGUCCGCCUCACCGCGUGCACUGGUCCGGCCGGGUCUUUCCUUCUGGGGAGCCGCAUGCCCUUCACUGGGUGUGUCGGGGAACCAGGACUUUUACUUUGAAAAAAUUAGAGUGUUCAAAGCAGGCCUAUGCUCGAAUACAUUAGCAUGGAAUAAUAGAAUAGGACGUGUGGUUCUAUUUUGUUGGUUUCUAGGACCGCCGUAAUGAUUAAUAGGGAUAGUCGGGGGCAUCAGUAUUCAAUUGUCAGAGGUGAAAUUCUUGGAUUUAUUGAAGACUAACUACUGCGAAAGCAUUUGCCAAGGAUGUUUUCAUUAAUCAGUGAACGAAAGUUAGGGGAUCGAAGACGAUCAGAUACCGUCGUAGUCUUAACCAUAAACUAUGCCGAC